AGACGGAGGGGGCUAGCGUUAUUCGGAAUUACUGGGCGGAAAGGGCGCGUAGGCGGAUUAGUAAGUUGGGAGUGAAAGCCCGGGGCUUAACCUCGGAACUGCUUUCAAAACUGCUAGUCUUGAGUGAAGUAGGGGGUGAUGGAAUUCCUAGUGUAGAGGUGAAAUUCUUAGAUAUUAGGAGGAACACCGGUGGCGAAGGCGGUCACCUGGACUUCAACUGACGCUGAGGCGCGAAAGCGUGGGGAGCAAACAGGAUUAGAAACCCCUGUAGUCC
rnacentral:rRNA from 1 species